GUUUUGUUAGCUGAAGCAGAUUGCAAGGCCCAAAGCGACAAAGGUACUAAAAAUGAAGUUGUUGAAAUAACGUUCUCAAAAAACAAGUGUUCAAUAUCAUGUCAUAUAGACAAAGACAAGGCAAAGACAAUAUAUUUUAUGAAGUUAUUGAAGCAGACAAAUGGCUCAUUUUACGAUGUUCUACAUCGCCGUCGUAUUGGUGAAACAAAAAAUACAAAAUUAUUCAAUUGUACAGAUAUGCAAUCUAGAUCUUCACACAAAGGAUCAAAUAUUGAUAAAGCCACAUUAGUGUUCAAAUUAGAUACAGAUUACCUAAGGGAUACAGAUAAUUCGCUGUACAAGUGUGAAAUAGAUUCUGAGUCGUACACGGGAAUUCAAUGGAACACGGCGAAUAUAGAUUGGACAGGUAUAUUUUUUCAUAUGUAUGCAUGUUUAGACCUCAAGAAUAUAACUAAGAUAUGCGUAGCAUAGUUUUUGAUGCUUGAACAAUUAAAGGAAUAAGAAAAUAACGGCUCUCAUUUUGCACAAAUGUAGGAUAUAUGAAAAAAAGAAAAUAAAAAUCAGUUUUAAACGUGUCCUACAUGUCGUACAAGUUAGAAGUUUAGCUAGUAUAAAACACGGUUAAAUUCACCAUUAUCAACAUAAGAAAAAUGUCAGGUGUGUGACGUGUUUGAGCUUUUGAUUUUGCAGUUCGUUUAGGGACUUCGGUUUUAAAUUUUGCUCAGCGUUUAGUAUUUUUGUUAUUUUACAUUUAAUCCUCUAAUGAAAUGACACUAUGAACAGCGAUCACCAAUAUGGAUGAAGGUCUUGGCGUUUACUUGUACAGAAUUAAUCAAACUUUCGAAACCUUAAAAUUAGAGGUGUAUUCCAGUUGACAACGUGUGCAUUGACGCGUAUUUGACCUUUGUACUCUAAAAUUGCUACUAAGUACCUUGAUCUAUAUUAUUGUAAUUGUCUAACAUCUUUUAACGAACAAACUAUAUGAAUGAUUGUUUAAAACAAUUAAAGGUAUAUAUUGAGGCGUUAGACACGGGGAAGAAUGCGGAAGAAGAUUAAAUGAUUACCACACACUACACUGCUGAUACCUCUAAUAAUAGACCUAUCAGUUUAAAUAAGUCACGAUUAUAUUCUUUAGAAAUCAAUGUUUGUAUCGUUGAAAAUAUAUUAAAAAUUUGAACAAAGAUAACAUGUCAGUUUUUGAUGUAAGCUUUAUUUGCAUAUGGGAAAACAACACUUAGCCCUGUGCAUUGUUUAUUCAAUAUAACUUUUUUUUCAGAUAAAUUGGUCAUCAAAUAAUCUAUAAAACACCUACAUGUGUUGCAAAUAUAACUGUGUAACUUUUUUGCAAGGAUUAUUUACAGGAGUUGCGAAAGAUAACACAGGAACAUUCAAACUCAUAAGUCAAAAGUGACCUGACAAAUCUAAAAAUAAAAAAAAGACAAACAAAGAAUCACACAAACAGGUCACAAAUCAUAACAUAGCGUUUUCGUAGUUGGAAUUAGUCCUUUGUCAAUAAUUUAGGCCUGUAAUGUAUAUAAUAAGGACUAGAAACUUCCAGUUAGAUUUUCGGUAGUAUGUGUGACAUAUAUCUUACUGUUUACGGGAGUUUUUUUCCGAACAAUAAUUAUUUAAACUAUCGUCUCGACCACUUGAAUUUUAUAGGUUGUGUCGACAGGCAUGCUGAAUCAGAGUCUAUAUGUACAAAAUCAUCUUUAUUAUCCACCCUUGUAAUAUUUUUGUAUGUCGUGGUUUCAUGAUGUGUUGCAGCGCUGUGUCCUUUAAAA
rnacentral:lncRNA from 1 species